rnacentral:rRNA from 1 species
ACGGAGGGUGCGAGCGUUAUUCGGAAUCACUGGGCGUAAAGCGCACGUAGGCGGUGUCGUAAGUCGGAUGUGAAAGCCCUCGGCUCAACCGGGGAACUGCAUUCGAUACUGCGAGUCUAGAGUGUAGUUGAGGGUGGCGGAAUUCCUGGUGUAGGGGUGAAAUGCGUAGAUAUCUGGCGGAACACCAGUGGCGAAGGCAGCCACCUGAGCGAUAACUGACGCUGAGGUGCGAAAGCGUGGGGAUCAAACAG